AAAACACCCCUACAAUCAUUUUCUCCUUCACUUCCCCUCCAACAAGUGAAACUUCUCUUUCUCUUAUUAAACCCCAUCUCUUUCUCUCUAGCAAAGCCCCCCCACUUCCAGGGAGAUUUUGGGAAGAUUGGGUUGAAGUCCACUAGGUAGUGAGGCAAGCUUCUUGGACAAGAAGGAGCUUGUGGGACAAGUUGCUAAGGUAGAUUGGCACGGGGAACAAUAAAAAUCUACCUUACGAUGAGGUUGCAGUCUCCAAUUGCAAGAUUAUGCCCAUUUUGAAGGUUCUUGGUCAAAUUGGUCUUGGAGUUUGACGAAUUACUGACAAUUAUUCAAUUGCCUGGUUUUCCUAGCGAUUAACAACGAAUCGAGGGUGUGGAAGAGACUCUCCAACAGAUGGCUAAGGUGGGUGCUAGUAGCGAUUCGCCACAAGGCUUAGAGGCACGACUAGGGCUCAACCCCAUGGUUGGCCAGUAUGAUUGGAUCAAGAAACAAAGAGACAGGUUCAACAUAUUGGGUACUUGAUCCAGCCAAGACUGAAGUGGCACAGGACAAAGGCAAGAGCAUCACUCUAUAGAUAGCAAGGUCACCUAGAUGAACCUUGCAAGAUAAACCCAAUGGUCGUAUUUUUGGAAGCACUGUAUAGUUAGCUCAUUUUGGGAAAUGGAUUCGAAUGCGGUAGACAUAUAUUUGUACCUACUUUCAUUUUGGCGAAAAGGAUUGAUAUAAUUUAUUGAUGCUUGGAGUGGAGAUACAUGAAAAGUUUUGAGUGAACAAAUUGUGAUAAUCAUAUUCAUUCUCAUGCUUAUGUGA